UACGUAGGUGGCGAGCGUUAUCCGGAUUCAUUGGGCGUAAAGCGCGCGUAGGCGGCCGCCUAAGCGGAACCUCUAACCCCGGGGCUCAGCCUCGGGCCGGGUUCCGGACUGGGCGGCUCGAGUGCGGUAGAGGAGAGCGGAAUUCCCGGUGUAGCGGUGGAAUGCGCAGAUAUCGGGAAGAACACCGAUGGCGAAGGCAGCUCUCUGGGCCGUCACUGACGCUGAGGCGCGAAAGCUGGGGGAGCGAACAGG
rnacentral:rRNA from 1 species